GUAGAGCAGACAUGCCAGAAUCAUAACAGACAUGACUCUUCAACUUGGAUCCAAAAUCUGUAGAAGCAGCCCUAAUUGAAGUGGAUUUCCCCCACGGCCUGGAAAAGAAUGCCGGGACCAGGUCGCACGCCUUCCUGCGUGCACGUCCAGAUAGUGAGAGCUACCCCACCGCACCGUGGCCACUGAAGGAGCCGAACUUGUCUGUCAUAUGGUUCAGCCGGGCCAGCUAAAAGCCAACCCCUUACAGCUACUGAGAUUAGCUGCAGUUCAAGUCCCUUUCAGGCCACAUGUGGAUGACUGGAAUUCCCUCAUCUCAUCGUCCGGAAACAUUUUCCUCAACACGGUUCAAUUAAGACAACUUUAUUUAAAGGGUGGUUUUUGAAAACAGAUCGGCCACCGCUGUCAACGCUUAUGUAUUUGAUCCUUUUUGAUGGUAUUUUAAAGGUACACGUUUGAUUUUAAAUAGAUGACAGCAAGCUUUUUCCUUAGCUCUUUUCUUAGCUUCAGCAGCUAUCAGCUAAGGUAACACGUGACUUAGGAGUCUAUUAAGAAUCAUUUAUCCAGAAACGUUUGGUUUAUAUGUAAAAUAUAUUUUAUAUUUCUUUAAAUAUUAUUUUAAUAAAUAAAGGCAGGUAAUUAAACACCAUUAAGACCCAUUUGUCUAGAAAGGUUUGAUUCUUAUAGAAAUAAUGUUUCCUUGAAUAUUAUUUUAAUAUUUCCAAUAUUAAUAUUUUACUAAA